GGGAUUAAGCCGAUUACCGGAGAGGAGCAGCUGGAGCAGCAGAGGAGCCCCCGGGGACUGAGUCGAUAAGCUCCUCGAGGACAAGCGGCUUUGCCUACGUGGCAGCAGCACCAUGGCUCGCCUUCAGCACGGAUGUGCUGGUCAGCCUGCUGCCCCAGCUGCCUCCCCCCAGCAGGAGAUAGCUCUGACGCCCGCCUCGGCUUCGCUUUGUUCAGUGUCCUGCCAUUCCUCGUACCACGACGCUGCUGCGGAGACCGCGGUUUGAAGGCGGUUUCAGCUGAGCUGUAGUUUUCCUUCCAUCCUGUAGCUGCAACUCUUACACUGAAUGCUGUUUCCAUCUGUUUCCCUCUGCUGCUUGACUUUACGUACCAGUGUUCCUUGGGCACAUGCAAGGCGUCUGUCAUCUCCUUAUUAAGUGGAAGACAACAAAACAAUCCAAAAUUCCCACUGGAAAGCCCAGCAGAACUGAUUUCAAGGCCCCCAGGGCAGCCACAGAGCUGGAGAUAGCUUACCAGCGGCGUGAGCUAAGACGUAAUGAGCUCACGAAGAGCGUUUGUCUUGGCUGUCACGGGCAUGCACCAGCUGACAGCGAGGGGACAAGCAAC